CCUCUCUUUUUUUAUUUCAAUAUACAUGUCACGCACAAUUUUUUUUUUUCCUCGUAUACAACUAUUUAUUUAAACACUUAUAAGUAUUAGCGUUCAAAUUUUAUUGUUGGAUAUGAAUGAUUAAAUUGCUUAUUGAGUCCUUUUUUUAUCUACUGUAAAUUAGGUAAUCAAGCAUCUAAAAUUAAAGAAAAUAUCCAAAUACGUCAUGUACUAAUAGAAAUUACUCGUUUUUUAUAUUUUUCAAUAAAUUCUUUGAGUUUAAUAGAUGGUCGUGGAAUAUGAAGGGUUGCAAUGCAUACUGAGUUCUCUUUUAUCUACUGACUGAAAAUUAGGUAAUCAAGUAAGAUGGCACCUCUAUUACAUGAUCUCACUAUACACCCAAAAUACCUGGACUAAAUACUCUAAUGUUGCUUUGCGGAAAAUGGGCAUACAAAUUAGAGGCAGCUCAAGCACAUAUGUGGCCUAAAGCCAAAAUUUAAUUUGAGACCUAAAUUUUUAAAAGAAUAUUAUGAUAUAUAUUUUUAUUUGAAAUCUAUUAUUUUUCUAUCUUUGGAGAUGCAAAGUUGUUAAUAAUUUUUUUAUAAUCGAUUUCUCUAAUAAUUCCUUUUCAAUUGAUAGUAUAGCCAACCUAUUUAAUCUUUCUUGAGACAUUAUUGAUCUUAGGUAAGAUUUUAUCAAUUAUAAUUUUGAAAAAAUUAUAUUCUUUGAGGCAGCUAUUAUAGAAAAAUUCUACUUUUGUACUAAAAGUACUAAUUAUUUUUUAAAAAAAUACCUAUGAACCUAUUAUUUUUUUAAAAAAUGGGACCUCCCAAAUUUGGGGGCCUAAGACACAAGCCUUAUUUGUGAUAACCUUAGAGCCGGUCCUGAUACAAAUGAAGUCCAAUCUUCGUACAAUCUAUACUAUGAUUUUUCAAACAAGGUUACAGAAUUUACUCACCUCUACAGAGUGCAGAAAGUUAAUCCCUUGGCCCUGCUCACAAUCACAAAAUACUCCAUCACUCAAGUACUGUAGAUGGAUAAUCCACUGGAAAAAUUCAUCCCAUAUAUAUAUACAUCAACUAACAGUCAGUCACUUACUGUAUAAGGCCAAUCCAGUCAAGGAAAGAUCCAUCCCCGAAUAUAAAUAAUUCGGACAAGAUCCAUCCCUCAAUAUAAAUGCUUCGGGCAAGAUCCAUACCCAGGGAAGAUCCAUCCCUCAAUAUAAAAUCAAACACGCUCACUGUGGGGGUGCAGACUCCGGAGGGGCUCCUUCAGUCCAAACGCUAUAAUAGCCAGAUCCAGACAUAAAUAAAUAAAAUAUGUUGCGACGUGCAGCCCGAUUCCAUAAAUUAUCACUCAAAAUCUCCAACGCAUAUGUAUUUAUUGCUUUUCCUUUGUAAAAGAAAGAAAUGAUAUUUCGAUUAGAUAAUCUAUGGAUGAAUGGAUCAGAAAGCAGGGACAGGGUAGGGGUAAUUGGAAAUAUUACAAACUAUUACGAUACAAUAAGUCCUCAGUUUUGUGGCUUUAAUAGAAUCUGUUUGCCAAGAGAUUGGAACUUAAGGAAGAGAUGCCUAAUCUUCGAGGAAUAUUUUUUGUGUAUGUGAAUAUAUAUAUAUAUAUAUAUAUAUAUAUAUGCUACUCUAAGGAACCUAUUCAUAAUGGUUAACUUGAGAAAUAAAUAUGUGGCAGCAAUACGGUUGGGUAAAUCAAUUUAAAAUAUCGGAC
rnacentral:lncRNA from 1 species